GCCCAGAUGGCGGAAUUGGCAGACGCGACGGAUUCAAAAUCCGUUACCUUCGGGUGUGAGGGUUCGACCCCCUCUCUGGGUACCA
rnacentral:tRNA from 2 species